rnacentral:lncRNA from 10 species
GAAGGACUUAGCUCAUAGAUGUCUUCUGAAAUGUGGAAGAAAUACUUUCGUUUGUCAUAAAACCUCAGCAGGAGAUUGGAGUCUGGAAGAGGGAGGGGAGAAGAGGAGGACCUCAGGGAGAUUGUUUUGCUUAUUGGUGUUUAAUUAAAAACCAAACAACUUUUCCUAUUAACUUGAUGCUACUUAUUAAUUGAAAUGAGGAGACUGACUCUGGAUAUUGGGAAAAUUUAUGGUGACCAUUAUUCUGAGUGUUUUAAAAGCAAUAUUUUUCUAUUGAAGAAAUGAAAAUAGCAGUCAUUCAAAAUCCUAUUGUGCUAUCUUUUGAUCAUCAUAAUAAGCAAACGCAAAUAAUUCUCCCUUGGUGAUCCAAUUAAAUGAUUUUAAAAUAUCAGUGUCAAAGCUGUUCCUUCUAAAAUUUAAGGCAAAUCUAAUAGAUUCUAAACAUAGAU